AGUUUACUAAGCAAUCUAAAAUCGCCGAAAGCUUGUCUUUGGUUUUCCACGCCCAUUGAACACAAAAACUCAGCGUAUUUCGUGGCGAUGAAGCAGACGAUAUUAAUAGUUUUGAGAAACAAUCAGUUAUUGUUCCAACAGGCAACUGUCAAUGUGAUCCUUGAGGUUCAAU